AACGAACGCUGGCGGCAGGCUUAACACAUGCAAGUCGAGCGCCCCGCAAGGGGAGCGGCAGACGGGGGAGUAACGCGUGGGAAUCUACCCAUCUCUACGGAAUAACGCAUGGAAACGUGUGCUAAUACCGUAUACGUCCUUCGGGAGAAAGAUUUAUCGGAGAUGGAUGAGCCCGGGUUGGAUUAGCUAGUUGGUGGGAUAAAGGCCUACCAAGGCGGGGAUCCAUAGCUGGUCUGAGAGGAUGAUCAGCCACACUGGGACUGAGACACGGCCCAGACUCCGACGGGAGGCAGCAGUGGGGAAUAUUGGACAAGGGGCGCAAGCCUGAUCCAGCCAUGCCGCGUGAGUGAUGAAGGCCCUAGGGUUGUAAAGCUCUUUCACCGGUGAAGAUAAUGACGGUAACCGGAGAAGAAGCCCCGGCUAACUUCGUGCCAGCCGCCGCAGUAAAAC
rnacentral:rRNA from 1 species